AAGCGCGCCAGCAACCAGCACGCCGGGAAUUCAAUCGCCCGCCUAAGCACAGGUUUGUCAUGGGGCUGGCGGAUCUGAUCGCCAUUCCUAACAUAUCUGCUAAGUUGAAAGCGCCUGAGAAAGUGGGCGACAAGGUGCUGGGGUCAAAGCCGGAAGCCUGGUGCGAGUUCCACCAGUGUUUUGGCCACGCUUUGGACUCGUGUUUGUCGCUGGGAUAUCAGCUCGACGAUCUGGUUAAGAGCGGGUUCCUAAAUGACUAUCUGCUGGACAGGAGGACGGGGGGAGCGUCGAGUUCCCAGCCAGCAGGUGGAGAAG
rnacentral:lncRNA from 1 species